UGCACUUUUUACAGGUAUACUGUUGGUGUAUUUAAUAAAAAUUGGUGGUAACAGCAUAGACAUGAAAAAAAGUACGCUAUAUUUUUUUCACUAAAUGUCUUGAAAUUUCUUUUCUCUACACUGUCGUUCAAGAAACGAGGCGUUUUAAAUGUAAAGAUUACUUUGUACUUUUGAGACCAACACUGACUGAUUCAAUAUUCAGAGGGAGAAUAAUUUAACGG
rnacentral:lncRNA from 1 species